UCUUCUUUUUUCUCUCUUUCUCUCAAAGUGAUCUCUUUCCCCCAAUGUGCUCUUUAUCCUCCCCUCCACCUCCUACUCAUCUGGGUUACCACCUCCUACUCCUCAUCGUCCUCUUCCACUUCUACCUCCUUCGACUUCUCCGCCUCUGCCACCAGUCCUCUUCUCUUUCUCCUCCUCCCACUUUUCUCCCUCUUUCUCCCUGGUCAACCUGUACUGAGUGCCGGAACACUGAACUGUACAGAGACUAUACCUAUUUGACCGCCGACUGGUAUCAGCACAAGAUCAAGAGCAGAAAAUUGAAGAACUAGAUCCAAUGUGACAGUUAACUUGCAGCUAAGAUAUCAUGAUAGUAACCCAUCCAAAGAUAGGAUAGAUGUGCGACUGACAAAUUUGUGUUGGUCAGCAGAUGGCACUGUAUAUUAUGUCAUUGUGCGUCAACAUAGACAUACUUGUGGCAUAAGAUGGGGGGAAGAACUUGAUUUUAGAAUCCAUCCAUAAAAGAAAGAAGAGAGCAGCAACUAAACUGGUACCAACACAAUUUGCCGACAUGGUAAGAUUCAGUGCAUAAGGCAAUCCCUAAAAUAGUACAACUCCUUUUUAGGAAACUAAACAAAGAUCAGGAGCUGCAAAAAUUAUCAGAUGAUGCAAAAACAAAAAGCAAAUAUCUGAUAGGAAUCAACAAAAUAUGAUGGUUUAUUCUACCUGUAUGGGAGAGUCAACCUAUAACAUGGAUUCUCUAUAAAAGAAUCUGUGUUUCAUUAGGCUGGUUUGCCUUUUGGCUCACAUAAGUAUUUCUUCUAAGUUUCUAACCACUAAUCUAGUUCUUCCCAUCAACAGUUCCUAGUAAGCCUUUCCACUCUAAUUUCAUAAUCUAUUAUAGGUUUAAACCACCAAGCCUCUCCAUUUUGCACUAAACUAUAAUAUAUAAGUCGAAAUGAGAUGUACUCAUUUUUCAACACUUCUACAAUAACAGUUACAGAAGUAGAAAUCUUAUCCAUAUGCACCAUACAACCUGAUUUAGAAAUAUGCCAUUACACUAUAUCAGGCUCACUCAUAAUUUCCUCUCUAGAAUUAAGUACCAACUGCAAUAAUGGCCAUACAGACUUCCCAUACAUAUGCAAUGUCAAAACUUUCAAAGUUUCACUUCCAGCCUCACCAUAACAAAAACCAAAAUAAGAUAAAGCACCAUCCUUAAGAUUUGAAUGUUCCCUACAAAGAUCUUGUUGCUUCAGUUUGAAUCAUUUACCUUUG
rnacentral:lncRNA from 1 species